rnacentral:lncRNA from 1 species
CCGCCCGUUCGCGCUGCCAGCAGCUUCCGCCUGCUACGGUCCUGGCAAGCACCUCGGGAUCCCAUUCCUUCACAGGGACCCUAGCCAGGUUAAAGCUGAUACAUUCCUGUGGGUCAACUAUGCAACUAACUCAGAUUUUGAGGCAAACAAAGCUCUCAAGUUGGUGAUCCUCAGGGAGUCUCUGCAUUAGUUGGACAGCUCUUCUGGAAUUAUCUUCUAAGUCAACUGUGGGUUGGGUAGGUGGCUCUGCUGAUUUUUCGCUGGACUUCCACAUUUGGGACGAGUUGGCUGUCAUCAGCUCUAGAAAGGGUGUGGCCGUUUUACAUUGGCUGUUUUCCUCACAUUCCUCAAGCAGGGUACUGUAAUAAAGAACUGGAGAAAUACAGUCAGAUGGGAAGUAGCCCUUGCUGUCAAGGAGCUUGCCAUCUAAUGGGGGAGACAGGCAAGUAAACCAAAGACUACACAGUGCAGUAUGGUAAGUGCCAUGAUUUUGAUGUGACAGGGCACAGUGGACGACCUUCCAAAUCAAAGCAAGUAACUAGGGGUUGACAAUGGUAAGUAUCAUAGUUGAAGUAUCCUUGAACAAGGUUUCAGGAAGAAGAAGAAGGGAAUUUCAUGCAGGGAAACAGCCAAAGCUCAGUGAGUCAAAAUAUCACAGCAUUCUUGGUAAGCCCAAUUGUUUUUUCUGUUUUGCUAUUUUGGUGGAGAGAAAGGAACACAUAAAGGAAUAACAUGAGAGAAGGCUAUUUGGGGAAGUGUAGUAGUUAAGGUUCUGGCUCAAACAACAACUGCAGCUCAUAAAGUUGACUUUAGUGGAAGGAUACUGGGGUAUCUCAUGGAAUCUUGGGAACUGUUGAAUAACCAGGGAAACUCUGGGAAACUCACUGGUAGGAAUCCAUAAACUGUCCUCCUGGUGGGCUGUAAACAACUCACCCUCUAUGCAUCUCACAUCAAAAUUCCAGUUUCUUGGGAAAACAAGUCUGUUUGCCCAAUUUGGGUCAUAUUUCCACGUCCAUGUUACUCAGGCAUGAUUCAUCUGCAAGUUAUGUGUAUAGAUAUUUUGCUACUGUUCCACCCUUACGCUGUGCUGGGGAGGGAGGUGUCACUGUGAGCUGUGUCGGUGCCUUAAGAGAUAUCUGUUGUGUCUUAUUACUUGGUUGCUUUUCCCCACAUGUACAAUGACAAAAAUGCCUUCAACCUAUUUGAUCCAGCCGUUCCAGUACAACUCCUAUACUUGCCAUCUUUCCAAGCCCAAAGGUACAUCCAGCUGAUGGAAGGAGCAUCUUGGUGUUAAUAUUCUUUUAGUCAUGGUCUCUGAAAGUAAAAUGUCUAUUCUUCUAAUUCUGGCACAAUCUUAUCUAGCUAUAGUUCCUCAUGGUCCUGCACUCCAUGGACUAAAUUGUAAGUAUAAUUACUACCAAUGUACUCUAUAAAUAACUUUUGGGGCCAGGGUGGCAAUAGUUGCUAGAGAGAAAAAAAAAAAAAAGGAAGGAGAAGAAAACAGUGAUAGUUCUUAUUUUAAAAGGAAAAAAAGAGGCAGGAGGCUCUCUUGAGGCCAGGAGUUUAAGACCAGCCUAGGCAGCAUUUCAAGACCCUGUCUCUACUAAAAAGUAAAAAAAAAAUUUAGUCAGGCAUGGUGGCAUGCACCUGUAGUCGUAGCUACUCAGGAGACUGAGGUGGGAGGAUUGAUUGAGCUCAGGAGUUUGAGGCUGCAGUGAGCAAUCAUCAUGCCAUUGCACUCCAGCCUGGGCAUCAGAGCAAGACCUUGUCUUUUAGGAAAAAAAGGCAGGGAAGAGGAAUAGGUAAUUUUUCAGUGUUCAGACAUUCCAGCAAUAUGUGUGGAGUACUCAUUCUCACUACAGUUUAUGAGGCCAUAGCUAGUAUGUAUGACUACCCAUCCAAGUUUCCCUGCUUACAGUUACUAUUCCAACUGAUUGGGGGGCUUUUCCUAAUAGAGUGAUUUAAGCCUUCAUUUUUAGACAUCUAAGCCCUUGGUGAUCAUCAGCAUAAAAUGUGACAAAUUAAACAAAAGCAAGACAGCACAUCAGAGAACAACUCUGAGGUGGAAUGAUUGGGAACCAAUGAAUAGUUGUUCAGUAAAUGGUUUAUAUUUUACAGAUGAUGAAACUGAAACACAAAAAAUUUAGAUUAACUCUUAGGUGACAAAGCCAGGAUUGAAGCUCAUGCGGUCUGGCUCCAGAACAACUCUUCUUCAUAGUUACGUUAUACUGCCCCUGCAUUGUUGGUAUUGAAAGAAUUUCCUUUCAUCUCUGGUAAAAGUCAGCUCUCUAACUACUGCAUCUCACAGCUGAACAGGAUAACUGAUACCGUGCUUCCAGAAGAUUUUUCUAACAGUGUUUGCAAGCUAUAAAAUAGUGCUUUCACUUAGAAAAGGCUAGACGUGGUGGUUCAUGCCUGUAAUCCCAGCACUUUGAGAGGCCGAGGGCACCAUGCUGGGAGAUAAGGAUCCAACAUAAGACAAACAGUGCUGAUGCUUUUGGAAAGCUCAUAUUCAAGCUGGGGAGACAAACAACAUACAAGGUGGCUGUAGCUACCUUCUGCAUAUGGAUAUCCAGUUUUCCCAGCACCACUUAUUAAAGAGACUGUCUUUUCUGCAGUGUAUAUUCUUGGCACCGUUGUUGAAAAUGAAUUCAUUGUAGGUGUGUGGGUUUGUUUCUGGGUUCUCUAUUCUGUUCAACUUGUCUAUGUGUCUGUUUUUAUGCCAGUACCGUGUCAUUUUAGUUACCAGAGCUCUGCAGUAUAAUUUGAAACCAGGUCAUGUGAUUCCUCCAGUUUUGUGGUAUUAGGAUAGGUUUGGCUAUUCUGAGUCUUUUGUGGUUCCAUAUAAAUUUUAGAAUUUUUUUUUUCUAUUUCUGUGAAGAAUGUCAUUGGUAUUUUGAUAGGGAUUGCGUUGAAUCUGUAGAUUGCUUUGGGUAGUAUGGACAUUUUAACAAUAUUCAUUCUUCUAAUCCAUGAACAUGGAAUACCUUUCCAUUUUUUGGUGUCCAUUUCAAUUUCUUUCAUCAGUCUUAUACUUUUCAUUAUAGAGAUCUUUCACUUCUUGGAUUAACUCCUAUGUAUUUAAUUUUACUUGUAGCUAUUGUAAAUGGGAUUACUUUUUUUUUUUUUUUUGACGGAGUUUCACCCUUGGCAUCCAGGCUAGUGUGCAAUGGCGCAACCUCAGCUCACUGCAACCUCCACCUCCCAGGUUCAAGCAAUUCUCCUGCCUCAGCCUCCUGAGUAGCUGGAAUUACAGGUGCCCGCCACCACACCCGGCUAAUUUUUGUAUUUUUAGUAGAGACAGGGUUUCACCACGUUGGUCAGGCUGGUCUUGAACUCCUGACCUCAGAUGAUCUGCCCACCUCGACCUCCCAAAGUGCUGGGAUUACAGGCAUGAGCCACCACUUCCAGCAAGGGAUUACUUUUUUAAUCUCUUUUUCAGAUUUUUCACUGUUGGCAUAUAGAAAUCCUACUAAUUUUUGUAUGUUGAUUUUGUAUCCUGGAACUUUACUGAAUCUGUUUAUAAUUUGUGUAUUUGUUUAUAGUAGUUUUUUGGUGGACUCUUUCAGUUUUUCCAAAUAUAAGAUCAUAUCAUUGGCAAACAAGGACAGUUUGAUUUCUUCUAUUCCAAUUUGGAUGCCUUUAUUUCUUUCUGUUGUCUGAUUGCUCUAGUUAGGACUUCCAGUACUAUGUUGAAUAACAGUGAUGAAAGUGGGCAUCCUUGCCAUGUUCCAGAUCUUAGAAAAGAGGCUUUCAGUUUUUCACCAUUCAGUUUGAUACUAGCUGUGGCAGCUUCCAUGAGAAUCACGCAGUUUGAAGAAGCAUUUCACUGAAAAAUAGGGAUUGCUGUUCUGGAAAGACAAAACAAUUGUCUACAAUUCUAAAGAAGAAGUGAACACAAUAAUUAAAUCAAUGUUAUUCUGGGUCUAAAGCUUAUAUUCUUAAUUACUAUAUUAUCCCAUCUUAAAAUUUUAAUUUGGAAAUUAUAUAUCUAAAUAUUAUAAUCAAUAAAGUUGAACACACAUGAUGAAGUGUGAAAAGA